AGUGAACGCUGGCGGUAGGCCUAACACAUGCAAGUCGAACGGCAGCACAGUAAGAGCUUGCUCUUACGGGUGGCGAGUGGCGGACGGGUGCGGAAUACAUCGGAAUCUACUUUUUCGUGGGGGAUAACGUAGGGAAACUUACGCUAAUACCGCAUCCGACCUACGGGUGAAAGCAGGGGAUCUUCGGAACUUGCGCGAUUGAAUGAGCCGAUGUCGGAUUAGCUAGUUGGCGGGGUAAAGGCCCACCAAGGCGACGAUCCGUAGCUGGUCUGAGAGGAUGAUCAGCCACACUGGAACUGAGACACGGUCCAGACUCCUACGGGAGGCAGCAGUGGGGAAUAUUGGACAAUGGGCGCAAGCCUGAUCCAGCCAUACCGCGUGGGUGAAGAAGGCCUUCGGGUUGUAAAGCCCUUUUGUUGGGAAAGAAAAGCAGCAGGUUAAUACCCCGCUGUUCUGACGGUACCCAAAGAAUAAGCACCGGCUAACUUCGUG
rnacentral:rRNA from 1 species